rnacentral:rRNA from 1 species
AGAGUGAACGCUGGCGGCAGGCCUAACACAUGCAAGUCGAACGGCAGCACAGGGGAGCUUGCUCCCUGGGUGGCGAGUGGCGGACGGGUGAGGAAUGCGUCGGAAUCUGCCUUUUCGUGGGGGAUAACGUAGGGAAACUUACGCUAAUACCGCAUGCGACCCUGUUCCGGGAGGAUCAGGGUGAAAGCGGGGGACCUUCGGGCCUCGCGCGGAAAGAUGAGCCGACGCCGGAUUAGCUAGUUGGCGGGUAACGGCCCACCAAGGCGACGAUCCGUAGCUGGUCUGAGAGGAUGAUCAGCCACACUGGAACUGAGACACGGUCCAGACUCCUAGGGAGGCAGCGAGUGGGGAAUAGUUGGACAAGUGGGCGCAAGCCUGAUCCAGCCCAUCGCCGCGUGAGUGAAGAACGGCCUUGGUUAGUAAGUCUUACUUUUGUUAGGAAAG